AUGAUCUUUUUUUAACCCUCACCAAGCGUCUUUUUGUGCCUAAACCUAACCAGACCUUAACCAUAGCUUUGUCACACCAUAAAACAUAAUUAGUCUGUACAAUGACAAACAACGCACGCAAUGAAAGAACAACGUGUAUGACUCUCGCGAGAGUUUAGCAAAUCUAGGGUUACCGUCUAGACACGACCAGUCUAUUGGAGGACCGCUUUACAAACUGUUGCAUCAAUUUCUCGAGGUGUCCAGGUCCUGGAUGGCGGGCAGAUCGGCAUCGAUAAUCUUUUCUGCAGACCUGACUGUCCGUUGUGGUCUGUUCCUGUCUUGUUUGGUAGCCGACCCAAAGAAGACAGUGAUGGAUGUGCAGAGAACAGACUCCGUGACUACAGUGUAAAACUGGAUAUGAAAUGGAACGUGGUAGAUUAGUCACACACAAAGCAUCUCAAACACUGAUCCCCAGAGUUGAUGGUUCAUUGGAAGUGUUGUCACAGUUGCUCCGAACUGGAGGAAACCUUUGUCCAACUAUUGUCUGGAAGUUUAGUAGAUUACAAUUCUCACCAAUUACA